GAUUUUUACCUUGUCAACUCGGGGAUUCAAUCCAGCAACCUUUCGGUUACUGGCCCAACACUCUAACCCCAGGAAGAUGUUAGAUGACGGAGUCAUAUGCUUUUAAACAAUCACACACACACAGCUAAAUCUCAAUCAUUUUUAUUUUAUUUGAGCCGCACUGAAUGAUAAAUGAUCACCUUGCACAAGUAACAAAUAUUCACACUAAAAUAAAACCUACUGCUGGCUGACUGUCUCUUCUUUUGCUAUUGCUGGGACACAGUUUCCUAGUACUCUGACCGAGUACAGAGUUAAUUCCAAUGGAAUUUUUAACAGGCAUUUAUGUAUUAUCGUGAAUAACUAACGGCUAUCAACCAAUCAGCAUCCAGGAUCCAAACUACCCGUUUUAUAGUAGAGUAAAUAGCAACGUCCUUCAAUAGCACGAAGAAGAGAGGAGAAGGAUGGAGGGAUCACAUGGGGACUAAUGGGUUAUAGGAACAUUGAACUAGGCGAUACAAAUCUAACAGGACAAAUCUAGCAAAACUCUUUUAAACACCAAAAAAUGGGGGGGGAUGUGCCUCAUUAUAUAAAAAUACCACAAUGGAGUAAAGAGAAGAGAAUAUCCUGAACUACCCACAUUAUUGGAAGCAAUUUUGGGGAAACGAUAUCUGCAAAAAAAAAAGGGUGUUUUCCUGAGUCAUAAAAGGAAAUGAAAGUUGAGCUUGAACCCUUUUCCUGAUCACAAGAGAUCAAUCAAUCAGAGAUGUGUAGUGGGGCUCGACACAACUAAAUCGCCUCGCUGGGAGAGUCACAAGCGGUUUCCUUUCGCCGUCAGUAGAGAGAGAGUUAGUCAGACUUGCUUGUCCAUUUGCAAGGAGACCCAUAAAAAAUGUUAUUUUGCCAAACAGAGAGAAAAACAGACACGGUGUCCUCUUGCAAAACAGUUAAAAUCACAAACAUCCUCCUUAGUGAAUAAUAAACAUUGUUUAUCUUGACAGCUGCACAAAAUGUAUUCUUAUCCAAUAAUGAACAACAAAUGACAUCCUCUCCUUUUGCUGACAGUGAGAUGUGUCACACACACUGUCUUUCAGGAUAGACACAGGGCUAUCUGAGGGAAUAGUCCAGUUUCAUACAGAGAGAGAGACAGAUGAAGGGAGAGAGAGAGAGAGAGAGAGAGAGACAGAGACAGAUGAAGGGAGAGAGAGAGAGAGAGAGAAGAUGAAGGAGAGAGAGAGAGAGAGAGGCAGAUGAAGGGAGAGAGAGAGAGAGACAGGGAGAGAGAGAGAGGCAGAUGAAGGGAGAGAGAGAGAGAGAGACAGAUGAAGGGAGAGAGAGAGAGUAGGGCUGGGAUUCAAUCUGUAUAAACGCUGUUGACAGCUUGUUAAUAAAUAUAAACGCUGCAUGUGUCGGCUCAGAAAUGGCUUUUAAAAACCCACAAUGCUUAUAAUUCACGAUCAGAUUGAAUCCUAAAUCUCUGAGAGGAGUGGAGUCCCUCCGUAAUAAAACUGAACUGACUCCUGUUGUCUCUGGAGUGCCGUGUGCAACUCAACUCUCAAUGAGUCUGAUACGAUUAACUACCAUCAGACUGUUGUCUCUGGAGCGCCGUGUGCAACUCAACUCUCAAUGAGUCUGAUACGAUUAACUACCAUCAGACUGUUGUCUCUGGAGCGCCGUGUGCAACUCAACUCCCAAUGAGUCUGAUAACGAUUAACUACAAUCAGACUGUUGUCUCUGGAGCGCCGUGUGCAACUCAACUCUCAAUGAGUCUGAUACGAUUAACUACAAUCAGACUGUUGUCUCUGGAGCGCCGUGUGCAACUCAACUCUCAAUGAGUCUGAUACGAUUACCUACAAUCAGACUGUUGUCUCUGGACGCCGUGUGCAACUCAACUCUCAAUGAGUCUGAUACGAUUAACUACAAUCAGACUGUUGUCUCUGGACGCCGUGUGCAACUCAACUCUCAAUGAGUCUGAUACGAUUAACUACAAUUGCCAAAAUAAUGUAUUAAAGUUGUAUUUUUAAUGUGUUUUUAAUGUGUUAUUGGGUUAGCUGCCCUUUGGAUUAAACCUCAAAAUCUGAUGUUCUCUGACGGUUUUUAACCAUGACUCGGGAUUCAAUCCCAUCGCGCUUCUGUCGGCUGUGCAAUUUUUAACCCCUUGAGUCGAUGUCCGUGACCCCCACGGAAAUUCAAUUUGCAAAAUCAAUAAAAAUAUAUCCCCAUCAAAUCUGUCUGUUUAAGAGAUAUAUAUAUAUAGAUAUAUAUAUAUAUAUUUAUUU
ensembl:lncRNA